UGAACCCGGGUCUCUGGCGCUGUGAGGCAGCAGUACUAACCACUGUGCCACCGUGCCGCCCAGAGCAAGCUGAAGGCCCGGAGUGGAGCGGGUUGGAGGCCUGGAGUGGAGCAAACUGAAGGCCCGGAGUGGAGCGGGUUGGAGGCCCUGAGUGGAGCGGGUUGGAGGCCCGGAAUGGAGCGGGUUGGAGGCCCGGAGUGGAGCGGGUUGGAGGCCCGGAAUGGAGCGGUUUGGAGGCCCGGAGUGGAGCGGGUUGGAGGCCCGGAAUGGAGCGGGUUGGAGGCCCGGAGUGGAGCAAGCUGAAGGCCCGGAGUGGAGCGAGUUGGAGGCCCUGAGUGGAGCGGGUUGGAGGCCCGGAAUGGAGCAGGUUGGAGGCCCGGAAUGGAGCGGGUUGGAGGCCCGGAGUGGAGCAAGCUGAAGGCCCUGAGUGGAGCGGGUUGGAGGCUCGGAGUGGAGCGGGUUGGAGGCUCGGAGUGGAGCGGGUUGGAGGUCCGGAGUGGAGCGGGUCGGAGGUCCGGAUUGGAGCGGGUUGGAGGCCCGGAGUGGAGCGGGUUGGAGGCCCGGAAUGGAGCGGGUUGGAGGCCCGGAGUGGAGCGGGUUGGAGGCCCGGAAUGGAGCAGGUUGGAGGCCCGGAGUGGAGCGGGUUGGAGGCCCGGAAUGGAGCGGGUUGGAGGCCCGGAGUGGAGCGGGUUGGAGGCCUGAAGUGGAGCGGCUUGGAGGCCCGGAGUGGAGCGGCUUGGAGUGGAGAGGCUUGGAGGCCCGGAGUGGAGCAGGGACAGUUGUUGGACUGAUGUCUGGCACAGGUGAUCAGACCACGCGUAGAACCCCUGUGCUGAGCCACUGCACUGUAAUGUUUAUUCUUUUAACUACGUCUUAUUUCUAACUUAUACUAUGGAUCACUGUAAAGUAAUGCUAUUUCUUUUCUUUUGUAUUCCUCUUUUAGUAUCUAAGAUUUGUACACAGAUGUGUUGUCCCCAAGAUGGUACCAUUAAGAGGUGACAUUAUAAGCUUGUCACUGUACUCCUGCACUUCUGUAUUGAGUGCGUGACAAUAAAUGAUAUUCUAUUCUAUUCUAAGAUGUAAAAAUGAAGGGGAAAGUCAAAAUUGCAUUUAUCUAGCAACUUUUUUGAGCUCCAGGAUGUCAUGAAAAACUUCAUAGUUCAAGACUUUGGAAACGUCAACACUGCGGCAUUGUAUAAAUUACACCAGUCAGUUAGUGCACAGCAGCAUCUGAAACCAGUGAUACGUUUCGUGAUUUGCAUUAUGGGAUAAAUAUCUGGGUGAACUUUCCUUCAAAACAAAACCAUGGGAUGGUCAUUCCCGCCUACAAGAGGGCUUUUGCUUGAACACCUCACCUGAAGAUGGAACUUCUGACAGUGCAGCACUCCUGCAGUACCGCAUUAGAGGUUCAGUUUGGGCUCCAGGCUGUGUUAUGCAAUAUGAAUUGAUUUUAGAUUAGAUUACUUACAGAGUGGAAACAGGCCCUUCCGCCCAACAAGUCCACACCGACCCUC